GAUGAACGCUGGCGGCGUGCCUAAUACAUGCAAGUCGAGCGAACUGAUUAGAAGCUUGCUUCUAUGACGUUAGCGGCGGACGGGUGAGUAACACGUGGGCAACCUGCCUGUAAGACUGGGAUAACUUCGGGAAACCGAAGCUAAUACCGGAUAGGAUCUUCUCCUUCAUGGGGGAUGAUUGAAAGAUGGUUUCGGCUAUCACUUACAGAUGGGCCCGCGGUGCAUAGCUAGUUGGUGAGGUAACGGCUCACCAAGGCAACGAUGCAUAGCCGACCUGAGAGGGGGAUCGGCGAAACUGGGACUGAGACACGGCCCAGACUCCUACGGGAGGCAGCAGUAGGGAAUCUUCCGCAAUGGACGAAAGUCUGACGGAGCAACGCCGCGUGAGUGAUGAAGGCUUUCGGGUCGUAAAACUCUGUUGUUAGGGAAGAACAAGUACAAGAGUAACUGCUUGUACCUUGACGGUACCUAACCAGAAAGCCACGGCUAACUACGUGCCAGCCGCCGCGGUAAGAC
rnacentral:rRNA from 1 species